UGUGUCCGUUUGUAAUCCAUCCUGGGACGA
rnacentral:piRNA from 1 species